rnacentral:rRNA from 1 species
AACGUAGGUGGCAAGCGUUAUCCGGAAUUACUGGGCGUAAAGGGCGUGCAGGCGGUUUGUUAAGUGCAGGGUGAAAGCUCCCGGCUCAACUGGGAGAGGUCCUUGCAUACUGGCGAACUCGAGGGAGGCAGAGGAAAGUGGAAUUCCCGGUGUAGUGGUGAUAUGCGUAGAUAUCGGGAGGAACACCUGUGGCGAAGGCGGCUUUCUGGGCCUUACCUGACGCUGAGACGCGAAAGCGUGGGGAGCAAACAGG